rnacentral:rRNA from 1 species
AUGAACGCUGGCGGCGUGCCUAAUACAUGCAAGUCGCGCGAACAGAUAAGGAGCUUGCUCCUUUGACGUUAGCGGCGGACGGGUGAGUAACACGUGGAUAACCUACCUAUAAGACUGGGAUAACUUCGGGAAACCGGAGCUAAUACCGGAUAACAUAUUGAACCGCAUGGUUCAAUAGUGAAAGGCGGCUUUGCUGUCACUUAUAGAUGGAUCCGCGCCGUAUUAGCUAGUUGGUAAGGUAACGGCUUACCAAGGCAACGAUACGUAGCCGACCUGAGAGGGUGAUCGGCCACACUAGAACUGGAACACGGUCCAGACUCCUACGGGAGGCAGCAGUAGGGAAUCUUCCGCAAUGGGCGAAAGCCUGACGGAGCAACGCCGCGUGGGUGAUGAAGGUCUUCGGAUCGUAAAACUCUGUUAUCAGGGAAGAACAAAUGUGUAAGUAACUGUGCACAUCUUGACGGUACCUGAUCAGAAAGCCACGGCUAACUACGUG